UGGUGGGUUGGCCAGGUUCAGGGCCACGAGCUCCGACUCCAUCGGGGCCGCUGGUUUUCAGUAAUGACCGUGAGCUGAAGAAUUUUUGUUUGGUUUGGUUGUGUUUUUGUUUUUUUUUUUUUCUUUGAAAUUGCCUGUCCGUUCUGUCAAACAGAAAUGACCACCACCGAUCUUCCCCCCCGUGGAAGAAUUCAUAUGGGAGUUGCUACCAGUCUGACUCUUUUCAAGUGACAGCAGGCGUCAGGGAACAGAGAGGAGAAGGUCACAUUGCAUUCCUUUCAGACCCAAAGUGCAAAGUGUCCGCACUGCCCUCACUUCAACGGCUCAAAAUAAAAAAGCGAACUUGGCCACAGAUUCCCAAGGAGAGGGGAGGAGGCCCCGUUCAUCUUGCUUUUGCAGUUUCCUCAAACGGGAGAAGAGGAGGAAGAGGAAGGGGAAGUUCCCACUCUUGGCUCUCCGUGUACUAAAUUCUGACCUUGGAGAUGAAGAAGCCCAAAGAAAAACAAGCAGUCAUCCCCAGACGUCAGUGCCACUACUAAGGACAAAGAAAUCACUAAGAAUGAAAAGCCUCCAUUGUUUGCAGCCCUAAAAAGUAUGAAACACAAUCAGGAUACCCAGCGUGACAGUUUCAGUGGUGGAGUAUUCAUGGGAAAAAAAAAAAAAUCUAAAAAUAAAAAGUCGGGAAGAUGGGCAAGUGGCC